rnacentral:rRNA from 1 species
AGAGUUUGAUCAUGGCUCAGAUUGAACGCUGGCGGCAGGCCUAACACAUGCAAGUCGAACGGUAACAGGAAGCAGCUUGCUGCUUCGCUGACGAGUGGCGGACGGGUGAGUAAUGUCUGGGAAGCUGCCUGAUGGAGGGGGAUAACUACUGGAAACGGUAGCUAAUACCGCAUAAUGUCGCAAGACCAAAGAGGGGGACCUUCGGGCCUCUUGCCAUCGGAUGUGCCCAGAUGGGAUUAGCUUGUUGGUGGGGUAACGGCUCACCAAGGCGACGAUCCCUAGCUGGUCUGAGAGGAUGACCAGCCACACUGGAACUGAGACACGGUCCAGACUCCUACGGGAGGCAGCAGUGGGGAAUAUUGCACAAUGGGCGCAAGCCUGAUGCAGCCAUGCCGCGUGUAUGAAGAAGGCCUUCGGGUUGUAAAGUACUUUCAGCGGGGAGGAAGGGAGUAAAGUUAAUACCUUUGCUCAUUGACGUUACCCGCAGAAGAAGCACCGGCUAACUCCGUGCCAGCAGCCGCGGUAAUACGGAGGGUGCAAGCGUUAAUCGGAAUUACUGGCGUAAAGCGCACGCAGGCGGUUUGUUAAGUCAGAUGUGAAAUCCCCGGGCUCAACCUGGGAACUGCAUCUGAUACUGGCAAGCUUGAGUCUCGUAGAGGGGGGUAGAAUUCCAGGUGUAGCGGUGAAAUGCGUAGAGAUCUGGAGGAAUACCGGUGGCGAAGGCGGCCCCCUGGACGAAGACUGACGCUCAGGUGCGAAAGCGUGGGGAGCAAACAGGAUUAGAUACCCUGGUAGUCCACGCCGUAAACGAUGUCGACUUGGAGGUUGUGCCCUUGAGGCGUGGCUUCCGGAGCUAACGCGUUAAGUCGACCGCCUGGGGAGUACGGCCGCAAGGUUAAAACUCAAAUGAAUUGACGGGGGCCCGCACAAGCGGUGGAGCAUGUGGUUUAAUUCGAUGCAACGCGAAGAACCUUACCUGGUCUUGACAUCCACGGAAGUUUUCAGAGAUGAGAAUGUGCCUUCGGGAACCGUGAGACAGGUGCUGCAUGGCUGUCGUCAGCUCGUGUUGUGAAAUGUUGGGUUAAGUCCCGCAACGAGCGCAACCCUUAUCCUUUGUUGCCAGCGGUCCGGCCGGGAACUCAAAGGAGACUGCCAGUGAUAAACUGGAGGAAGGUGGGGAUGACGUCAAGUCAUCAUGGCCCUUACGACCAGGGCUACACACGUGCUACAGUGGCGCAUACAAAGAGAAGCGACCUCGCGAGAGCAAGCGGACCUCAUAAAGUGCGUCGUAGUCCGGAUUGGAGUCUGCAACUCGACUCCAUGAAGUCGGAAUCGCUAGUAAUCGUGGAUCAGAAUGCCACGGUGAAUACGUUCCCGGGCCUUGUACACACCGCCCGUCACACCAUGGGAGUGGGUUGCAAAAGAAGUAGGUAGCUUAACCUUCGGGAGGGCGCUUACCACUUUGUGAUUCAUGACUGGGGUGAAGUCGUAACAAGGUAACCGUAGGGGAACCUGCGGUUG